CUGCCGAAAAAAGAAAAAGAGGCAAAACUCAGAUGCCAGGCGUGCAUGGAAGGAAAGAACGUAAACAAGUUGUGUUAAAUGAGACCAAUCAACCCAUAGGUCCUACUGACGAAGUUGUAAAAGAGUUGGGUAGCUUCAUCGGCACAUUGGCAAGGAGUGCGAUAUUUUGUCCUCUUAAUGUAUUUAAUUGGGGGAAACUUGAAACAAAAGAAGAUAUAUGGAAAUACAUCAAGGAAAAAUAUGACAUUCCUGAAGCUACGGAAGUAUGGGUUCUUGAAUCAAUCCAGAAUGCUUGGAGAAAGUAUAAGAAUAAGUUAAUGGAAGAACAUUUUAAACCCUAUGAAAAUGACGAGUUUUGAAUGGAGAAAAGGCCGAUUGAUGUUCCGGAGUCUCAAUUUAGGGAACUUCUUAAAUAUUGGAAUUCUGAUACCUACAAGGUGAAGCAAAUGAAGAAAAUGGAGAUGGAGACAGUGAAGAUCUAGACCUUACUUAAAGAAUUUUGAAUUGUUGUAGAUGUUUAGGAAUCUUUUGUAAUCAACAUUUGAAACUUACUCUAACUCUUGAAGUCUUGAACUUUAAAACU